rnacentral:tRNA from 1 species
GGCUUGUUCGUAUAACGGUUAGUACGCUACCUUCACAUAGACGGACGUCCCGGUAGAAACGUGGGUUCGACUCCCACACGAGUCA